rnacentral:rRNA from 1 species
GCGAGCUGGGUUCAGAACGUCGCGAGACAGUUCGGUCCCUAUCUGUUGUGGGCGUUGGAAGUUUGAGUGGAUCUGACCUUAGUACGAGAGGACCGGGUUGGACAGACCUCUGGUGAACCUGUUAUGCCGCCAGGUGUACGGCAGGGUAGCUACGUCUGGAAUAGAUAAGCGCUGAAAGCAUCUAAGUGCGAAACUAGCCACGAGAUGAGACUUCCUUAUAGGGUCGUAGAAGAUGACUACGUUGAUAGGCCAUAGGUGUAAAGGUUGAGAGACCAAAGCCAAGUGGUACUAAUAGCCCGAAGCUUUCUCAAG